rnacentral:misc_RNA from 1 species
GGUGGCUCGCUCUCAAUA